rnacentral:rRNA from 1 species
CUUGCAAUAUAAAGUAUAAGAGGUCCCGCCUGCCCAGUGACAAUUUCAACGGCCGCGGUAUCAUGACCGUGCAAAGGUAGCGUAAUCACUUGUCUUUUAAAUAAAGACCUGUAUGAAAGGCAAAACGAAAGUUCAACUGUCUCUUUAAUCCAAUCAAUGAAAUUAAUCUUUCCGUGCAGAAGCGGAAAUAGAAAUAUAAGACGAGAAGACCCUAUGGAGCUUUAAAUAUAAAAUUAACUAUACCAUUAAACUACAAAUCCACGGAUAAAAUAAUAACAUUAGCUAUAAUUUGAAUUUUCGGUUGGGGCGACCACGGAGAAAAAAUAAUCCUCCGAGAUAAUAGUUUAGAAUUACACUUCAAAAAUUAAAACAUUUAUUAUAAAUGAUCCACUAAGUGACCAACGAACCAAGUUACCCUAGGGAUAACAGCGCAAUCCUUUCUAAGAGUCCAUAUCGACGAAUGGGUUUACGACCUCGAUGUUGGAUCAGGACAUCCUAAUGGUGCAGCCGCUAUUAAAGGUUCGUUUGUUCAACGAUUAAAGUCCU